GAUGAAGAACGUAGCGAAAUGCGAUAAGUAGUGUGAAUUGCAGAAUUCAGUGAAUCAUCGAAUCUUUGAACGCACAUUGCGCCCCUUGGUAUUCCAUGGGGCAUGCCUGUUCGAGCGUCAUUUGUACCUUCAAGCUUUGCUUGGUGUUGGGUGUUUGUCUCGCCUCUGCGUGUAGACUCGCCUUAAAACAAUUGGCAGCCGGCGUAUUGAUUUCGGAGCGCAGUACAUCUCGCGCUUUGCACUCAUAACGACGACGUCCAAAAGUACAUUUUUACACUCUUGACCUCGGAUCAGGUAGGGAUACCCGCUGAACUUAAGCAUAUCAAUAAGCGGGAGGA
rnacentral:misc_RNA from 1 species